rnacentral:rRNA from 1 species
AGUGAACGCUGGCGGUAGGCCUAACACAUGCAAGUCGAACGGCAGCACAGUAAGAGCUUGCUCUUACGGGUGGCGAGUGGCGGACGGGUGAGGAAUACAUCGGAAUCUACUUUUUCGUGGGGGAUAACGUAGGGAAACUUACGCUAAUACCGCAUACGACCUACGGGUGAAAGCAGGGGAUCUUCGGGCCUUGCGCGAUUGAAUGAGCCGAUGUCGGAUUAGCUAGUUGGCGGGGUAAAGGCCCACCAAGGUGACGAUCCGUAGCUGGUCUGAGAGGAUGAUCAGCCACACUGGAACUGAGACACGGUCCAGACUCCUACGGGAGGCAGCAGUGGGGAAUAUUGGACAAUGGGCGCAAGCCUGAUCCAGCCAUACCGCGUGGGUGAAGAAGGCCUUCGGGUUGUAAAGCCCUUUUGUUGGGAAAGAAAAGCAGCAGGUUAAUACCCCGCUGUUCUGACGGUACCCAAAGAAUAAGCACCGGCUAACUUCGUG